UGCAGAUGCUGACCCACAAUAGGGAUCAGUCAUGAGGACUGGGACAGAAAACAUGACCAAAUAAAUUCCUGCCAUGUUGCUCUGUUGCUGAACUGAGUUCCCUGCAGCCCCAAAAGAAGAUUUCUACUGGGCCUGCAUAAGGAUACAUGAAAUGAUGUUGCUUGAAGGGAACUAAGGGUUAUCUUCAGUUUGGAGGACCACAGAUCCUUGGAGACAGGAGCAGAAUGCUUUUCUAACGUGUGUGCACCAUAGAGUUU
rnacentral:lncRNA from 1 species